UGGGCAACCUGCCCCUCUCUCUGGGAUAACCCCGGGAAACCGGGGCUAAUACCGAAUACGACCUCCACGGGCAUCUGUGGAGGUGGAAAGGGUUUCCGGCUGAGGAUGGGCCCCGGCCUAUCAGCUUGUUGGUGGGGUCAUGGCUCACCAAGGCGACGACGGGUAGCCGGCCUGAGAGGGCGACCGGCCACACUGGGACUGAGACACGGCCCGGACUCCUACGGGAGGCA
rnacentral:rRNA from 1 species